rnacentral:rRNA from 1 species
GACGAGGGGUCCUAGCGUUGUUCGGAAUCACUGGGCGUAAAGCGCAUGUAGGCGGCUUUUCAAGUCAGGUGUGAAAUCCCACAGCUCAACUGUGGAAUUGCAUUUGAAACUGCUAAGCUUGAAUAUCGAAGAGGAUGGUGGAAUUCCUGAUGUAGUGGUGAAAUACGUAGAGAUCCGGAAGAACACCAGUGGCGAAGGCGGGUCUCUGGGCCGAUACUGACGCUGAGGAGCGAAAGCGUGGGGAGCGAACAGG